rnacentral:rRNA from 1 species
UACAGAGGUGGCGAGCGUUGUCCGGAUUUACUGGGCGUAAAGGGCGUGUAGGCUGUUGUGUAAGUCAGUUGUGAAAUCCGUCGGCUCAACCGAAGAAUUGCUUCUGAUACUGCACGACUCGAGGACGGAAGAGGAAAGUAGAAUUCCCGGUGUAGCAGUGAAAUGCGUAGAUAUCGGGAAGAAUACCAAUGGCGAAGGCGACUUUCUGGUCCGUAUCUGACGCUGAGACGCGAAAGCCAGGGGAG